rnacentral:rRNA from 1 species
AGUGAGAGCGUACACAGGUGCUGCAUGGCUGUCGUCAGCUCGUGUCGUGAGAUGUGGGUUAAGUCCCGCAACGAGCGCAACCCUGCAUUCAGUUGCCAUCGGUAAGGCCGGGCACUCUGGAUGGACUGCCGGCGACAAGCCGGAGGAAGGUGGGGACGACGUCAAGUCAUCAUGGCCCUUAUGUCCAGGGCGACACACGUGCUACAAUGGCCGGCACAACGGGAAGCGAAGGGGCGACCCUGAGCGGAUCCCCAUAAAAGCCGGUCCCAGUUCGGAUUGCAGUCUGCAACUCGACUGCAUGAAGUUGGAAUCGCUAGUAAUCGUGGAUCAGCCAAGCCGCGGUGAAUACGUUCCCGGGCCUU